GAUGAACGCUGGCGGCGUGCCUAAUACAUGCAAGUCGAGCGAACAGACGAGGAGCUUGCUCCUCUGACGUUAGCGGCGGACGGGUGAGUAACACGUGGAUAACCUACCUAUAAGACUGGGAUAACUUCGGGAAACCGGAGCUAAUACCGGAUAAUAUAUUGAACCGCAUGGUUCAAUAGUGAAAGACGGUUUUGCUGUCACUUAUAGAUGUAUCCGCGCCGCAUUAGCUAGUUGGUAAGGUAACGGCUUACCAAGGCAACGAUGCGUAGCCGACCUGAGAGGGUGAUCAGCCACACUGGAACUGAGACACGGUCCAGACUCCUACGGGAGGCAGCAGUAGGGAAUCUUGCGCAAUGGGCGAAAGCCUGACGGAGCAACGCCGCGUGAGUGAUGAAGGUCUUCGGAUCGUAAAACUCUGUUAUUAGGGAAGAAAAAAUGUGUAAGUAACCAUGGACGUCUUGACGGUACCUAAUCAGAAAGCCACGGCUAACUACGUG
rnacentral:rRNA from 1 species